CUGAUAAAUUAAUUAAAUGGCCGCAGUAUUUUAACUGUGCAAAGGUAGCAUAAUCAUUAGUCUUUUAAUUGAGGGCUUGUAUGAACGAUUGAACGAGAUAUAAACUGUCUUAUGAAAAUUUAAUAAUAGAAUUUAAUUUUUUAGUAAAAAAGCUAAAAUAAAUUUAAAAGACGAGAAGACCCUAUAGAUCUUUAUAAAAAAUAUUUAUUUUUAUUAUUAAGAUUUAUUGAAUAGAAAUAAUAGUUUUUAUUUUGUUGGGGUGACAUUGAAAUUUUAUAAACUUUUAAUUUUAUUUUAACAUUAAUUUAUGAAUUUAUGAUCUUUUAUUAUUGAUUAAAAAUUUAAGUUACCUUAGGGAUAACAGCGUAAUUAUUUUGGAGAGUUCAUAUCGAUAAAAUAGAUUGCGACCUCGAUGUUGGAUUAAGAUAAAUUUUAGGUGGAGAUACUUAAAAAAUUAAGUCUGUUCGACUUUUAAUUUCUUACAUGAUCUGAGUU
rnacentral:rRNA from 1 species